rnacentral:tRNA from 1 species
GGUAAGAUGGCUGAGUGUCAAAGCGGUGGAUUGUAGCCCCAUAAACAGAGGUUUAAGUCCUCUUCUUACUA